rnacentral:rRNA from 1 species
GAUUAACGCUAGCGGCAGGCAUAAUACAUGCAAGUUGAACGGCAGCACAGGUAGCAAUACUGGGUGGCGAGUGGCGCACGGGUGCGUAACACGUAUGCAACCUACCCUAUACAGGCGAAUAACCUUUAGAAAUGAGGGCUAAUACGCCGUAGUAUUACAGAUGGGCAUCUAUUUGUUAUUAAAUAUUUAUCGGUAUAGGAUGGGUAUGCGUGCAAUUAGUUAGUUGGUAAGGUAACGGCUUACCAGGACGAGGAUGGGUAGGGGAUCUGAGAGGACUUACCCCCACACUGGUACUGAGACACUGACCAGACUGCUACGGGAGGCAGCAGUAAGGAAUAUUGGGCAAUGGCCGCGAGGCUGACCCAGCCAUGCCGCGUGCAGGAAGACGGCCUUAGGGGUUGUAAACUGCUUUUAUACGGGAAUAAUAGAGUGUACGCGUACAUUUAUGCAAGUAUUGUAUGAAUAAGCAUCGGCUAACUCCGUG